rnacentral:rRNA from 1 species
CUAAGAGAUGGGAUUUCAGGGAAAAGUUUUUUUAAUUUAAUAAUUAAAGUUAUUUUAAUUUGUGAAGAAACAAUUAUAUAAAUUAAGGACAAGAAGACCCUAAGAAUUUAAGAAUUCUUAUGUUACUUAAAUAUAAAAUAGGAAUUCUUAGUUGGGGCAACUAAAAAACAUUAUAAACUUUUUUUCUUUAAAAUGACCCAUUAUUAAUGAUAAUAUGAUUAAAUACUCUAGGG